rnacentral:rRNA from 1 species
AGUGAACGCUGGCGGCGUGCCUAAUACAUGCAAGUCGAACGGAGUGGCGCACGGGUGAGUAAUAUAUAGCUAAUCUGCCUCUUGCUGGAGGACAAUAGUUGGAAAUGACUGCUAAUACUCCAUAGCAAUGGAUGAGACUAUAUCGUAUCAGCUAGUCGGUUGGGUAAAGUCGUACCGAGGCUAUGCAGCGUAACUUGUCUGAGAGGAUGAUCAUUCGCAUUGGAAGUGAGACACGGUUCAGGCUCAUUCGGCAGGGGGCAGUAGGGAAUAUUGCGCAAUGCGAGAAACACUGACUGUGCUACGCGGCGUGAAGGAUGACAAUUUUCGGAGCAUAAACUCCGUUUGUUAGGGAAGCGGUACCUAACGAAUAAGCACCGGCUAACUCCGUGCCAGCCGCCGCGGUAAUAC